CAGUCGCCGCGGUAAUACAGAGGGUGCGAUCGUUAAUCGGAUUUACUGGGCGUAAAGCGUGCGUAGGCGGCUUCUUAAGUCGGAUGUGAAAUCCCUGAGCUUAACUUAGGAAUUGCAUUCGAUACUGGGAAGCUAGAGUAUGGGAGAGGAUGGUAGAAUUCCAGGUGUAGCGGUGAAAUGCGUAGAGAUCUGGAGGAAUACCGAUGGCGAAGGCAGCCAUCUGGCCUAAUACUGACGCUGAGGUACGAAAGCAUGGGGAGCAAACAGGAUUAGAUACCCGAGUAGUCCCUGUCUCUUAUAC
rnacentral:rRNA from 1 species